rnacentral:rRNA from 1 species
AGAGUUUGAUCAUGGCUCAGAUUGAACGCUGGCGGCAGGCCUAACACAUGCAAGUCGAGCGGUAGCACAGAGAGCUUGCUCUCGGGUGACGAGCGGCGGACGGGUGAGUAAUGUCUGGGAAACUGCCUGAUGGAGGGGGAUAACUACUGGAAACGGUAGCUAAUACCGCAUAACGUCGCAAGACCAAAGUGGGGACCUUCGGGCCUCAUGCCAUCAGAUGUGCCCAGAUGGGAUUAGCUAGUAGGUGGGGUAACGGCUCACCUAGGCGACGAUCCCUAGCUGGUCUGAGAGGAUGACCAGCCACACUGGAACUGAGACACGGUCCAGACUCCUACGGGAGGCAGCAGUGGGGAAUAUUGCACAAUGGGCGCAAGCCUGAUGCAGCCAUGCCGCGUGUGUGAAGAAGGCCUUCGGGUUGUAAAGCACUUUCAGCGGGGAGGAAGGCGGUGAGGUUAAUAACCUCAUCGAUUGACGUUACCCGCAGAAGAAGCACCGGCUAACUCCGUGCCAGCAGCCGCGGUAAUACGGAGGGUGCAAGCGUUAAUCGGAAUUACUGGGCGUAAAGCGCACGCAGGCGGUCUGUCAAGUCGGAUGUGAAAUCCCCGGGCUCAACCUGGGAACUGCAUUCGAAACUGGCAGGCUAGAGUCUUGUAGAGGGGGGUAGAAUUCCAGGUGUAGCGGUGAAAUGCGUAGAGAUCUGGAGGAAUACCGGUGGCGAAGGCGGCCCCCUGGACAAAGACUGACGCUCAGGUGCGAAAGCGUGGGGAGCAAACAGGAUUAGAUACCCUGGUAGUCCACGCCGUAAACGAUGUCGAUUUGGAGGUUGUGCCCUUGAGGCGUGGCUUCCGGAGCUAACGCGUUAAAUCGACCGCCUGGGGAGUACGGCCGCAAGGUUAAAACUCAAAUGAAUUGACGGGGGCCCGCACAAGCGGUGGAGCAUGUGGUUUAAUUCGAUGCAACGCGAAGAACCUUACCUGGUCUUGACAUCCACAGAACUUUCCAGAGAUGGAUUGGUGCCUUCGGGAACUGUGAGACAGGUGCUGCAUGGCUGUCGUCAGCUCGUGUUGUGAAAUGUUGGGUUAAGUCCCGCAACGAGCGCAACCCUUAUCCUUUGUUGCCAGCGGUUAGGCCGGGAACUCAAAGGAGACUGCCAGUGAUAAACUGGAGGAAGGUGGGGAUGACGUCAAGUCAUCAUGGCCCUUACGACCAGGGCUACACACGUGCUACAAUGGCAUAUACAAAGAGAAGCGACCUCGCGAGAGCAAGCGGACCUCAUAAAGUAUGUCGUAGUCCGGAUUGGAGUCUGCAACUCGACUCCAUGAAGUCGGAAUCGCUAGUAAUCAUAGAUCAGAAUGCUACGGUGAAUACGUUCCCGGGCCUUGUACACACCGCCCGUCACACCAUGGGAGUGGGUUGCAAAAGAAGUAGGUAGCUUAACCUUCGGGAGGGCGCUUACCACUUUGUGAUUCAUGACUGGGGUGAAGUCGUAACAAGGUAACCGUAGGGGAACCUGCGGUUGGAUCACCU